UGAGAUUAUAGGCACGAACCACUGCACCCAGCCUAUUUUCUUGACGCUCUGCCCUUUGUGCUGUUGGAAGCAGUUUUAAACAUGCUUUUCUACUACAGGAUGAUGCAUUUGUUAAGGAUGAAGCUUAGAGGAAUGUGAAAAUAACUGUCUCACAAGAUGUAUUUCCUUCAAAGACUGUCUUUUACUCUCCCUUAGCAAACAAUGUCACUGACAAACAGCUGUCAAUUUGAUUCAGUAAAUACUGACAAUUUUAUAUGGAAAGCAGUAUGUCAAGAGAACUUUCCAUCUUUAGAUCUAACCUAACUCUUUAAUGACACAUUCUAUUUAUUCUAAAACACUUGUUAAAGCACGAAAGUACAGAAUGAGAAGAACAGCAGCAGGAGAAGAUAAACUUUCCAAGGGGUAAAGUUCAAAGACUGGCGAUUGUAGAUUGAAUGUUUGUGUUCCCCCAAAUUCAUAUGUGGAAGCCCUAACCCCCAAAAUAAUGGCAUUUGGAGGUGGGCUCCCAUGAUGGGAUGAGUGUUCUUAAAGAAGAGGAAGAGUGACUACAGCUCUCAAUCUCUCCCUACCACGUGAAGACACAGUUAGAAGAUGGCUAUCACAAGGGCCAGGAAGAAAAACCCUGUUUUAUAGAUAAGGAAAACAGGCACAGUAAGGUUAAUUUGUUGAACUCACACAGGAAGUACCAGAGAUGU